GAUGAACGCUGGCGGCGUGCCUAAUACAUGCAAGUCGAGCGAACAGACGAGGAGCUUGCUCCUCUGACGUUAGCGGCGGACGGGUGAGUAACACGUGGAUAACCUACCUAUAAGACUGGGAUAACUUCGGGAAACCGGAGCUAAUACCGGAUAAUAUAUUGAACCGCAUGGUUCAAUAGUUAAAGACGGUUUUGCUGUCACUUAUAGAUGGAUCCGCGCCGCAUUAGCUAGUUGGUAAGGUAACGGCUUACCAAGGCAACGAUGCGUAGCCGACCUGAGAGGGUGAUCGGCCACACUGGAACUGAGACACGGUCCAGACUCCUACGGGAGGCAGCAGUAGGGAAUCUUCCGCAAUGGGCGAAAGCUUGACGGAGCAACGCCGCGUGAGUGAUGGAGGUCUUCGGAUCGUAAAACUCUGUUAUUAGGGAAGAACAAAUGUGUAAGUAACUAUGCACGUCUUGACGGUACCUAAUCAGAAAGCCACGGCUAACUACGUG
rnacentral:rRNA from 1 species